AGGAUUCAACCACCACUGGUCGCGACAGGCGCCGCCGGGGGAUCGCAUUUAGGCCGGCCGCGCGACGGUAGCGCACGGGAGGCCAGUCUCCGCCCCGGCCCCGCCGCUCC
rnacentral:rRNA from 1 species